GGAAGUAAAAGUCGUAACAAGGUUUCCGUAGGUGAACCUGCGGAAGGAUCAUUACCUAGAGUUGUAGGCUUUGCCUACCAUCUCUUACCCAUGUCUUUUGAGUACCUUCGUUUCCUCGGCGGGUCCGCCCGCCGAUUGGACAAAAUUCAAACCCUUUGCAGUUGCAAUCAGCGUCUGAAAAAACAUAAUAAUUACAACUUUCAACAACGGAUCUCUUGGUUCUGGCAUCGAUGAAGAACGCAGCGAAAUGCGAUAAGUAGUGUGAAUUGCAGAAUUCAGUGAAUCAUCGAAUCUUUGAACGCACAUUGCGCCCCUUGGUAUUCCAUGGGGCAUGCCUGUUCGAGCGUCAUUUGUACCUUCAAGCCUUGCUUGGUGUUGGGUGUUUGUCUCGCCUCUGCGCGCAGACUCGCCUCAAAACAAUUGGCAGCCGGCGUAUUGAUUUCGGAGCGCAGUACAUCUCGCGCUUUGCACUCAUAACGACGACGUCCAAAAAGUACAUUUUUUACACUCUUGACCUCGGAUCAGGUAGGGAUACCCGCUGAACUUAAGCAUAUCAAUAAGCGGAGGA
rnacentral:rRNA from 1 species